GAGUUUGAUCGUGGCUCAGGAUGAACGCUGGCGGCGUGCCUAAUACAUGCAAGUCGAGCGAACGGAUAAGGAGCUUGCUCCUUUGAAGUUAGCGGCGGACGGGUGAGUAACACGUGGGUAACCUACCUAUAAGACUGGAAUAACUUCGGGAAACCGGAGCUAAUGCCGGAUAACAUUUGGAACCGCAUGGUUCUAAAGUAAAGAUGGUUUUGCUAUCACUUAUAGAUGGACCCGCGCCGUAUUAGCUAGUUGGUAAGGUAACGGCUUACCAAGGCAACGAUACGUAGCCGACCUGAGAGGGUGAUCGGCCACAUUGGAACUGAGACACGG
rnacentral:rRNA from 1 species